rnacentral:rRNA from 1 species
UACGGAGGGUGCGAGCGUUGUCCGGAAUCACUGGGCGUAAAGGGCGCGUAGGCGGCCCGGUAAGUAGGAGGUGAAAUCUUGCGGCUCAACCGCAAGGCUGCCUUCUAAACUGCCAGGCUUGAGCACAGUAGAGGCAGGUGGAAUUCCCGGUGUAGCGGUGGAAUGCGUAGAGAUCGGGAAGAACAUCGGUGGCGAAGGCGGCCUGCUGGGCUGUUGCUGACGCUGAGGCGCGACAGCGUGGGGAGCAAACAGG